AGAGGCUGCGCGGUAGGCAAGCGGCCAGGCUCCGGGGCAGUUCUCCCCCCACUCCAGGAGCUGGGAGGCGGGGUGAAAAGUCUGAACGGGCCGGGCGCUGGAGCGUGCGAGAACUGGAUUCUGGCCCAAAUCGAGAGAGAGAGAGAGAGGGGAGACUAACGGGGGGAGUGGGGCAAGUGGUGUUGGGAGGGAUGUGUGGCAGGUGAUGAAGAAUAGAGAGGAAAAGUUGGCAAUAGGUGAACAUUAGAUAAGUGAAAGUAGGAAAUGCCAUGUGAGCCAAAUAAAUAGUGUCGAAAAGACAUGUAGAAGGUGGUGGAGAACAGGGGAGCGAAAUAAGGAUGAAGAAGAAAAUUAAAGAGAAGGGAAAAUACAAAGCAUAGGAUACUAUGUAGAUCUCCCAUGGCUUAUCAGAAAAAGAAACUUUACAGAGAAAUACGCGUAAACUAGAGAACAGUAAUGAUAAAGGUCUCCCGAAAGAGCACACAGCAGUUCUAGAGUCCCCCUCCUCGGCGCGGAAAGGGACGCGACAUUCAUCACGUAGGGGUUUGCGAAGCCUGUGCACCUUAACAGGUAACCGCAUCUGAGGAAAUCCUCAGGAGCGCGCGCAGGAGCGAAAUGCGUCACCGUCGGGAUGCGCGACAAGAGGCGGACUCGCACGCAUUUAUACGAUUUCUACACGUGGCGAAAAUAAUGGCCAAAACAGCUGUUAUCUUUACAAGUUAAGACGUGUAAUGCAGGGUGCUGAUCUUUUAUUUAAAGAGACAACAGGGUUUAUUAUUAUUAUUAUUAUUAUUAUUAUUAUUAUUAUUAUUAUUAUUAUUAUUAUUGCCAAGUGGAGAUUGUGUAUGAACGGCGGCUCGAACUAGUCUUUGACUCUCCACCUCUGAGGUUUUUAAAAAAGCUCAGGACAUACUUUCCUUUUUACCCCCGAAAAGACGCCCGUGUUGAUUUUUAGAAGGGAGGCAGGUGCACAUCUAUACCGCCAUGCUUCAAAUGGUAUCUUUCAGAGUCAUCACUUUCAAAAUCCACUUAACGAAGUGAAUUAUCUUUGAAUAUUCACUAAUCAUUUUAUCGUUAGGAUGUCAUAAAAUGAUCAGUGUCAAGUGUAUUUUUUCUCUUUAUUUACAGUACCUGUUUCUGGAAAUUAAAUUAAGGAGAUUUGCGGAGAACAUUAAUUACCAGUACUCACGUAACGGUUACCUUUCUUUUUCUCCAGUAAUUUACCAACUACUAUUGUUAAUAUCAAUGCUGUUAUUCAGACAGCGCACAACUGAGAUAGUUUUAAAAUGUUCAAAGUGACAGUUUUACUAUACAUAUAGGUGUAACCUUUCUUUUGCUCUUAUGAUUUACUAACUUCUGCUGUUAAUGUUAAUGAUAUUAUUAAAACCGCGCAAACUGUAACGGUUUUAAAAUGUUCAAAGUGACACCAUUACCUUCAAAGAAAAUAAGAAAGCAACAAAUAUACAUUCUGUUAGCAGCUUAAAUCACCAGUUUACAAGAUUAAAGCAGGUUACAACGACAAAGACAACACUAUCAUCAUCAUAAUAAUAAAAAUGUAUAAUUGGCUGGCGCCGUUAACUAAGGCAACGCACAACUUAAGAUCAAGAUACAGCACAAUUGUUCCACACACUGUACAUUUUUUGCAGCUGCCAUACGAGCUUGCCUUAGCCACUACAUCACACUGUCUGCCCCUUAUGAUAUUGAUUAUGGACACCCUGAAAACCAGCUGCAGUCCGAAUAAAUGGAAGACAUGGAUGCUCUCUCUCUCUCUCUCUCUCUCUCUCUCUCUGUCAUAUACACACACACUCUCGCGCGCGCGCUCUUUAAAGGUUUAUCUUUGUUUUUUUUCUCACUGCCCUACAUUGCCGCCUUGCGGAUGUAUUACAGUACUGUGUACUACCAUCAAACGAUUAUCGAGAACGAAAAAUGUACGUCGUACACUGAAAAUUCUACUAGAUUCAGUGCAGGGGUUUUGUAUGUCUCCGUGCUGGACUUUCCUUGGCUGGUCAUUCUAAUGAUAUUGCAUGUACCCAAGUAACGCCUUUCUACCAAGUUAAACUUCACAUUUUUAGGAUCCUUAGACGCUGUCGUCAAAUACUAAAAGUAAUUCCCGUGACCUUACACUGACUGCAGCCUGACCUUCAAUUGGCAAUCGAUCAGAGAAGUUCCUGAAGGCUGCCUGGAAAUCCCACCCUCGAAGAGGUGAUGCUCUGAAUCACUGCUUCCCCUCUUUCAGCCCUGGAAGGAACAACGCUCCCAGAAGUUAAAUGUGUGGAAACCCAGGCAGUGACAAACAGCACACAUAAGAAGGAUACUAGUAUACUAUAAUUAUGUGGCAGUGCUACACCACCACUACUAUUAAUAGACUUGGAUUUGUUUGGUGGUGCUUCAUUAGCAACUUGUGAAGUGCAGUCAUAUUAACAGGACUUAAUGCAUUUAGGUGUUGUGUAAAAAAUGUAAUCGUAGAUAUUUUUAACAUGUUAAUCGCAUGCGUUGACUAAUGGAGAUUAAUCUCAGCUGUAAUUUUACAGUAUAUCUUCAGGCAAGCUUGAGAGAAAUUAAAUCCAAACAGGAACUACAACACACAUCAGCAGAUGUCCGGGGAUCUGUACCGCGUUCAGCUUGGUUCUGAGAGUAACAAACAACAAGGUUCCUCAAAGUCAUUUGCAGCUCGCUAAACUGGAACAUGACAAGGUUCAGUCACCAUGAGAUCUUCCCCCAAGAUUGCUGCCUAGACUAAUUCCACAUCCCUCUCUAUGGACUCGUUGGUGCCCCUUUUCUGAGGGGUGAGCGAGUGGCUCUUGGUACUGAGACUCUACUGACUCUGGUGACUUAGAGGUUUCCUUCUGAUGCUAACAAGGAAGCCCCUUUCUUUUGCAAGUUCUCAGACUCGGCCACCAGUUUCCUCUGGCUGUCCUCUUACCAUCUGGAAGGCUGUCUUGCUCUUCACUAAUAAUAAAU